CCUACGGGAGGCAGCAGUGAGGAAUAUUGGUCAAUGGGCGAGAGCCUGAACCAGCCAAGUCGCGUGAAGGAUGACGGCCCUACGGGUUGUAAACUUCUUUUGUCAGGGAGCAAUUGGGUCCACGCGUGGGCUUAGCGAGAGUACCUGAAGAAAAAGCAUCGGGUAACUCCGUGCCAGCAGCCGCGGUAAUACGGGGAAUGCGAGCGUUAGCCGGAUUUAUGGGGUUUAAAGGCUGCGUAGGUGGAAUAUCAAGGCAGUGGUAAAAAUUCGGGGCCCAACCCCGUCGUGCCGUUGAAACUGGUGUUCUUGAGUGGGCGAGAGGUAUGCGGAAUGCGUGGUGUAGCGGUGAAAUGCAUAGAUAUCACGAAGAACUCCGAUUGCGAAGGCAGCAUACCGGCGCCCAACUGACGCUGAGGCACGAAAGCGUGGGUAUCGAACAGGAUUAGAUACCCCGGUAGUC
rnacentral:rRNA from 1 species